GAUCUGUAUGCUGCUUUUGCCGGGGAUAGAACAGGAAUGGAGUCUUAGAAUUUUUACAUAACUCUCUGCUUCAUGGAUAGGCCGAGGGCAUCCCGAAGACAGCGCUGACCCAGAUCCCUGUGUCCUGGACUCUCCAGAUCCCUGCACACCUUAUACUGGGGCCCGAAUGGAGCCUCUGGCAUGAUUACAAAUAAACUUGUUUCUGCCUCA